GGGACUAUAUUAGAGUAACAGCCAACUAUUCCCUAGCGUCUUAUGUACCUGGAGGAUUUGACCUAGACAAGUGUACUGACUGGUGCCAUCCGCUCCGUGUCACCUUCACUGAACCAGGGAAGAGAGCUCUGGGAUGGACAAAAGGGUAUACCUGGGGUCUUAGGAUUUACAAGGAAAGAUAUGAUGAGGGAUUAUUGUUCACUAUCAGAUUAAAAAUAGAGACCCCCUACAAUCCUUUAGGCCCCCCAACCAAGUUCACACCCCUCACCCAUACAAUUACUCAGCCUACUCCAGUGAUUGCGGACCCCCUUAAUAUGGCCGCUAUCACCCAACCUCCCACUCCUCAGGUACCUCUAACUAUUACCCCCGAGAUUCCUUCAAGACAGAGGAUGUUUAACCUAGUGAGAGGAGCCUUUUAUGCCCUUAACAGAACUGAUCCAAGCGCUACUGAGGACUGCUGGCUAUGCCUGUCCUCGGGUCCGCCUUAUUAUGAAGGAAUCGCCUUCAAUAGAAAUUUCAACAGAACCAGCAGCCAUACUUCCUGCUCUUGGGGUACAGGACAAAAACUGACCCUGACUGAAGUAUCCGCGAGGAAUCCAGGUCUCUGUAUAGGUACCCCACCUUCCACUCACAAACACCUAUGCGGACAAAUUCAGUCCGUGUCCAGAACGGAAGCUAAUUACUAUCUUGUACCUUCCCCAGUUGGAUGGUGGGCUUGCAAUACAGAACUUACUCCCUGUGUAUCAACUAAGGUUUUUAAUUCAUCUCAUGAUUUUUGUGUCAUGAUCCAGCUGUUACCCAGCGUAUAUUAUCACCCUGCAUCCAGUUUAGAAGAAAGCUAUGCUGGCCGGCGGUCAAAAAGAGAACCAAUUACUUUAACCCUGGCUGCAUUCAUGGGAAUAGAUAUGGCAGUAGGAGUGGGGACGGGAGUGUCAGCUUUGAUAGAAGGAAGACAGGGAAUUCAGUCUUUGAGGGAUGCUGUCAAUGAAGACCUAGCGGCAAUAGAGAAGUCCAUUGACGCUUUAGAAAAAUCUUUGACCUCCCUGUCUGAGGUAGUUUUACAGAACAGGAGAGGUCUUGAUUUGUUGUUCCUAAAGGAAGGAGGACUGUGUGCUGCCCUUAAAGAAGAGUGCUGCUUCUAUGCAGAUCAUACAGGAAUAGUUAGAGACUCUAUGCAGAAACUGAGAGAAAGAUUAGAGCGAAGGAAAUGAGAACAGGAUGCUCAACGGGGGUGGUUUGAGUCUUGGUUUGAAUCACGACCAUCUUGGAUAACUUCUUUAAUUUCCGCUGUAGCCGGACCAAUCCUUAUGAUAUGCUUAGCUUUAGUUUUCGGCCCUUGUAUAAUAAAUAGAGGAAUGGUUUUCAUCCAGAAUAAAAUUGAUACAGUAAAACUCAUGGUUCUUCAAAGGCAAUAUCAACCUAUAGUUCAGGUAGAUGAAGAGUUAGGGGACACCAAUCUCUAAAAUUCUAUGAUUAGAAUUAGUCUAAACAGAAGAAGAGGGGAAUGAAAGGAAAUAAAACUGUAAUUCAUGUAAUGUAUGUUAAAUAGCCCAAAGAGUUGUUUCUGAGCUUUGAAACCUGGGGCUGAGAACAGACCAGGACAUGCCCGGGCAAGCCCAUUGCCUCCCUAGCUCCCACCCCUCUGACCUAAGUUAAAUGUUACAGGCUGCUGAUGUUUAAAUGGACCAAUCAUGUGAAACCGCGCCAAUUCCUCCCCCAGCCCCACUCCUUUUCUAUAAAAACCCCUAGCUUCCAAGCCUCGUGGUCGAAUCCACUGUCUCCUGUUAUGUGAGAUACGUUUCGACCCGGAGCUCUGCCAUUAAAAAACCUCUUGUUGUUACAUCAAGGUGUUGUGUUCUAUUCGUGAUUCUUGGGUGCACGCCGAAUCGGGAGCUGAGUGGGGGUUUCCCCACUGAGUUCUUUCAGUUUUCUCGUUACACCAUGUGGGUUCCAGGAACCCAAUGAGGGUUGUCAGACUUGGCAGAGAGUGCCAUAUCACCAGUCCUCUAUGCCUCAUUUUCUGAGGCAGGGGAUUUUAUUUUUAUUAUUUUGCCAUGUCAAAUACAACAACCAAAAGAAACUCAAGGAAGGAAGGAGUUUAUUUCAGCUUACAAUCCAUCAUUGACAGAAGGGAGGGACAGAACUCAGCGGUUACUUGGAGGCACAUCUGCUUGCUAUUGCACAAAGCACUAUCUCCUACUGAGGAACUCAUUUCACAGCCAAAAAGGUACAAUAGAAACUGUAGGAUACUGCCUUCUAGCCAGGUCUCAGCCAGCAUUCAUAGACGGCUCAGGAUCACCUGCCCAGGGUAAUCAUGGAACAGUGUUGCACACCAUGUACUGACUAGGCCCUCUUCCAUCAACUAGCAAAUAAGACAAUAACUCUAGACAUGUCCUGCAGAUGGUCUGAUCUAACUAACUGGGAGCCGGGCGUGGUGGCGCACACCUUUAAUCCCAGCACUCAGGAGGCAGGGGCAGGUCGAUUUCUGAGUUGGAGACCAGCCUGGUCUACAAAGUGAGUUUCAGGACAGCCAGAGAUACACAGAGAAACCCUGUCUCGAAAAACCAGAAAAAAAAAAAAACCUAACUGGGACACAGAGUGUCUCACUGAACCUGGACUUGGACUGGCUGGCCAACCAAUCUCUCAGAUCCUCCUGUGUUGGCAUCCCCAGGGCUGAAAUUCAUGUACAUUCCACCAUACUGGCUUUUACUGAGUGCUAGGCCUCUGAACAAGGUCCAAGUGCUUUGAUAGCAAGCACUUUGCAACCACUGAUCCAUCUCCCCAACUUCCAGCUUUCAGUUUCUGAGGAGGGGUCUCGUGCUUCCUAGGCUGACCUCAGACUGUGUAGCAGAGGGCGGUCUUGAUCCUGAUCCCCCUGAUUCAAAAACCCCAAGGUACCAUCUUGCAUAACUCACAGCUUUCUUAGAAUUGCUCCCCCACUUCUCAACUACCCACUUACAGAACACUGUGAGUUGCUUAUAAAAAUAGAAAAUAUUAACCACUACAUUUGUUUCAGUAAGCAGUGACUUGGAGCAGAGUUGGCAGCCUUCCACAAAAUCCAUCAGCUGGCUCCUGCCAUCUCUCUUUCCCUCACUCAGAAUGUCCCAUUCCAAGUUCCCAUCUGUCCUCACCCGAGCUUCUCUAUGGGGACUAUAUUUCCAGGUUUUUGUUGUUGUUUUGUUUUUGAGACAGGCUACACAUGACCCUGGUAAUCCUAGAACUUGCUCUGUAGACCAGACUGUCCUUAAACUCUGGGAUCUGCCCAUCUCUGCCUGCCAAAUAUCCAGAAGUUCUUUAAAAUAGGUUUUUUUUUUAAAUUAAAAGUUUUUUUUUUUUUUUUUUUUUAAUUUUUAAAUUUCAUCUGACUUUCUGUGUCUGAAUGUUUAGCUCUACGUGUGUACACCAGGUGGCACUGUGUGGUCACUGGAGGUCAGAAGACCCAGCUUGGUUUCCUGGAACUGGAAAACCAUCUGUUGUGAGCCACCAUGUGUAUGCUGGACCAUGUCUAAUGCCAGUCCUCUACUAAUUCAACAAGUGCUCUUACAAGCUGAAACAUCUUUCCAGGCCCUAAAAUAGCUUUUCUUUCUUCUUAAGAUUUAUUUAUUUUUACGUUCAUUGGUGUUUUGCCUGUAUGUAUGUCUAUGAGAAGGUGCCAGGUCCCCUGGAACUGGAUUUACAGUUAUUGAGUUGCCGUCUGGGUACUGGGAAUUGAAGUCAGGUCCUUUGGACGAGUUGCCAGCGCUCCU
rnacentral:lncRNA from 1 species